AUUGAACGCUGGCGGCAGGCCUAACACAUGCAAGUCGAGCGGAUGAAGAGAGCUUGCUCUCUGAUUUAGCGGCGGACGGGUGAGUAAUGCCUAGGAAUCUGCCUGGUAGUGGGGGAUAACGUUCCGAAAGGAACGCUAAUACCGCAUACGUCCUACGGGAGAAAGCCGGGGACCUUCGGGCCUUGCGCUAUCAGAUGAGCCUAGGUCGGAUUAGCUAGUUGGUGAGGUAAUGGCUCACCAAGGCGACGAUCCGUAACUGGUCUGAGAGGAUGAUCAGUCACACUGGAACUGAGACACGGUCCAGACUCCUACGGGAGGCAGCAGUGGGGAAUAUUGGACAAUGGGCGAAAGCCUGAUCCAGCCAUGCCGCGUGUGUGAAGAAGGUCUUCGGAUUGUAAAGCACUUUAAGUUGGGAGGAAGGGUUGUAGAUUAAUACUCUGCAAUUUUGACGUUACCAACAGAAUAAGCACCGGCUAACUUCGUGCCAGCCGCCGCGGUAACAC
rnacentral:rRNA from 1 species